rnacentral:lncRNA from 1 species
GAACGAGUCGCCACGGUCUAUUGACAUUGUUUUUGUUGUUUCUUUUGAAUUUUAGUUCUUUGGUGAUGGUUUGAAAAUUGGUGUUUGAAUUUUUGGAAUUUAUCGAUGAGCAUCCAUCAGUUUUAAUAAUAAUCAAUUAAGCGUUAUUUGAAAACAAACGUUUCAAUUCUUCGAGCAUUUUUCACAAUUCCGAUCAUUUAUAGUCGUAGGAAAGUUUUUUUUUUACCUCAAUUCCACCAAAUUUCUCCACUGCCAUUUUUUUUAUUUGAACGUUUUAUUUCAUAGAAGUGAUGAGAAGUUUUUGAAAAUGUGUCAAAAAUAAGAAUCUUUCAAAUGUUGAGACAGAUGGGUCGACUAAUUUUCAGUGAUGAAUCGACGAAAAGUAUUUCGAAUGAUGUCGAUUCGGGCCUACCGUGUCAGUGGAAAUUCCUCGGUUUAGUCAGACAGAAGAAAACAUUUUUUUGACUAACGAAUACUUCGACCUUGAUUAUUUCCCACCGUGAAAUUCUGGAUGAAAAAUGUUGAUCUCGUGUUUUUUUAUUAGAAAAAAAAUUACGUGGGAUCUCUCAAUAUCGUGUUUUUCGAGUCAGGCACAAUGCCCAAUGCGCAAACGAUGAACGUCGCCAUUUUCUGAAAACUUGGGAAUGAGAGAGGGGGGAGAGAGCGAGAGCAAGAUAGAUUUUUGGAACAUUUAAAUUUCACCAUUUCUCGAAAGCGACGGUGAAGAUAAAAUUGAAACGCGGCGAAUCGGUUUUCCAUGAUUGUGUUUACCGGCAAGUAAUUAGGUGUGCUUAAAAUCCUCAAUAUUUUUACGGACUGCGGGUUGCGAAACUUCAACGCGAACGAGUAUCAUAGAAAUCACUUUUAUGUACACGAACCAGGAGCGUGGCACGCUCCGCCUAAUCAUUCGACCGUAAUUAAUUCUUUUCCGUGUUUCGACCACAUUUCGGCUCAGCGCGUACGUGGCGCAAUGUUUUCUUUUUUUUCCUCUAUUACAGCACCCCGGUAACACACAGUUUUCUUGAGCGGAAUUCGAUUCGUCGUACGACGUCCGAAAUUCGUCAGUCCACAAACAAUUUUGAGCCAUUUUUUCACAAAUUCGUCAAAUUGGAAACAGAUUUUUUAUUGAAACGAAAAAUAAAAUAAAUUUUUUUCGUUUCAAUUUCUGUCAAAUUACGAGCCAUUUUUAUGGGCGUGAUUGGAGCCAUUCGGUAAUGCUCUUGCCCUUCAUAAUUGACAGUUGUUUCCUUAAAUUUCGUUUGUAUUUUCGAUGUGAAAUUUGCAAAUGGAGAGUUUCGAGUUGUAAAUAAUUGAUUGCUCGCAGUUUGAAGUCCGGUAACAAAUCGUUCGAGCAGACAUAAAAUACAGAGCAACAGCGCGAUUGGUCGAAAUCGUAAGAAUAAUGGAUUCGUUAUUUAUUUAGCAGCGUUUAUUAUUUAGGGGCUUGAAAAUAUCGAUGAUCUCGGAAAGUACGUCAAUCUCUUUAAAACGUAUGUCGACGUAAGCGUUCGGUAAGUGUUCCGUGGAAAUUUCCACCGAGUAAAUAAAACGAAGAAAAGCCGUCACGAGAUUUCUUAAGGCCAUAUGCCAAAAACGAGAAGUUAAUGCGCGAGUCGCGUUGGUUUUUUUGGGUAAUUACGCUUAUUCCUCUUUCUGCUCUUGCUUUUUCAAUCAGAUCUCUCUUUCUCUUCUUCGAAUCCCGCACAACGGAUUGGUCGACGUUACACUCUGGAAUAUUUUGCGAAAUUGCCAAAAAAUUCUCUCCCCCCUUACUCCUGCCUCUUUCGACCGACACAAAGAAAUUUUUCGCCGCGUCUCUUGACGAUCUAACAAAGAAAUUCAAAGUCGAGCUUCUGCUCGACGCUACCGUUGCGCGGAACACUCGCGCCUCUACAGUCAUAAAACGGAACUCUCGAAAAAUACGCACACGCUGUUCCGAAGCCCACCAACGUUCGCGACGUUUUGAAGAUAGAAAGAAAAUUCUGUUUGCUCCGUGGUGUCAGGACGAAAUCAACGCUUCGUGCUAGUCUUCCGAUCAUCGAACAGGGAACAAACAGUCUAAACAGGCAAAACUUUAGGCCUUCGAUCACAGGAAACACGCGAUAAAAAAAAUGAAUAAACGUCGAAUGAAUCGUUCCUGCCAUUUUUCAGUUCUUUGUGUCGUUGAAAGUCAUUCGCGUUUGAAACGUAACGUGCAUCAUUAUCGAUGAAUUUGCCAAUUUUAGUUGAACGAAUAAUUGAUUUUAAUUAAUUCAUGAAUUCGUUUAAUAGAGAGGAAAAAAUUUUAAUGAAUUUCAAUGUGAUUUUUUUUGUUUCCUUCGCCUCGAAGAUCCAUUCAUUGUUUCUGAUGAGAGCAAAGCGAAGGAACGAAACUUCAUUGCCGGUUAGCAAAACAGAGAGACCGAAAAUUCGGGUCUUUUUUCCGAACAGGGACAAAAUGUUUAUAUAUACAGAGGGAGUUCAGUAUACGCUUGGCCGCUGGCCAGAGAAUACUGCGCGUGCAUUUUCAGCACGAAAAUAGAACCGCGACCAAAAUCCCCCAUGACUUCUUCAUCUUCUUCUUUUUAUUCCUCUUCAUCAUUUUGGCUUUCGAAGCUCUCUGACGAUAAAGUGAAACGCAAGUCGUCGAUAUAAGUGUAAAAAGAUGUUGGAGGAUUGAUAUAUACGUUGAUGGAGAGGAGCGUCCGAGUCCUAUUUGUCUCGAGUGAGAUUUCCAGCUUCUCAAAAGUCAUCGACAAUUUCGUACGAGCUUGAAUCACCCCCAAAACGUUUCCUCAUUUUCCAUAUGGGUGGAACGUUCGAAAAUCAAAUUCUUUUUCAAUCUGUUCUCAGGAUUCGAACGAAAGAACAAAAUAAUUUGGAUUUCCGUCAAAAAAUCGCUUUGGAAGCACAUUUUUUAAAGCAGGAACAUUUUAAUGACCAUUUUUUUUUUUUUUUUUCAUGCAAAUCUUAGAAUUUGUGGUGCGAAUAAACGUAAAUGAAUUUUCGGAAUCGUAUAGGCUCUGUAAUCCCGAGGAAAAUGUUUGAAAAGUGAUUUGUGAAAAAAAGUUCGUUCGAUCGAAAAGAUGCCACGAAUUUGCGAAGCAGCAUUUCGGAAAGCGUGACGCAGGUCGAGUUGGCAUAAAACGGCUCGUACACAAACAAACGAAAAUCGUUGACAACGAGAGAGUCUGUAUAUUUAUCACGAAUUUCCGUAAGGAAAUAGGAAAACCUUGGCUGGUGCGACGACAUCGAGAGCACACGCGUGUGUUUGUACGUGUGAGACUUAACGUUCGCAGAUGGACAAUUUCUUUGUACGAAACACGUUUCUGCGUUUCGUUUCCAAUUCUCCCCGGAGCAACGGAUACGCGUAUAUUUUCGUAUAUUUUCCGGGAAACGUUGAUUCGCGUUGGUAAAAAAAAGAAGAAAUUCAUUUUUCGCGCAUCCACUGUGACGAGUGAAAAGAAGAGAAUUCAUUAUUUCGUUCCUCGUUUUUUCCGCACGAUCGCUUUGACUUCCGAUGACUGAUUAGUAUUUUUUCUAUUGGCCGUUCUAAAGCUUCCUGAGCGUGCUGCAAACCGGCGCAAUAAUGCAGCAAGAGAACGCUCAAUGCUUGCACACGGAGAUCACUUUGGGCUAUCAAUUUGACACUGUCGUGUUCACCACUUUGCGAUAACUCUAACCUUGAGGUAGUUUCACCAUCCAAUGAUGCCUUCAGUUUUGUCAUCUGGGGAAAAAACAUUGAAUUAAUUUUUCGUUCCAACUCCAAGCGAGUGUUUAACCAAUAUUUUUGAGAUUUAGAAAAAAUGUUCAAAUAAUUUGAACCGAUUAGAUCAUAUCGUCAAUGAAAAUUUGUUCAUCUUGAAAGUCUCCUUAGCCCUCGACAUCAAACCGUCGUCCAAGUCGCCAGCGAGUAACGGUGCCGCGACACUCGGCUCCGUGCCUUCGAGCAGCUCUGGACUUAUUCCCAAUCCACCGACGAGGGAAUUCUACAUGGUCGUUCACUGACGACUUGGUUUAUUGUUCGGGAUUUUUUGGGAGCACGAUAAAUGAACUCAAAAAGAAAUGUUCAUUUGUUCAUUUUCGCAACGAGAAAAUGAGAUGGUGUGUUGCGUGAGAGUGAGGCGAUUUUUCAAGUUCGUUAUUGCCAAGCGUUUUCCCCAUAUAUUUCUUCUUCGAAAUGUUUUUUUUUCUUGUGUCGCAAGCCAAGCACAUUGCAAGCCACAUUAUGCAGGUCUAAUGAAGAGCUGUUCAAAGUGAUCGGUGAUUGGUACAUCGACCCUGCCCAAAAGUUAGAUGAUGCAGAGUACAACGAAGAAUGAAAAAAAAAAAAAAAAGAGAUAGACGAAAAAUUUCACAGUGCAUACAAAUAACGAUUUCGUGGUGAGAGUUACUUAAAUGGUGAAUCGUUAAAUAAAGCUAUCGACAUGUAUUUCGUAAUUCUUAUUUCCUAGGAUCAAAAUUGAUAAUACAAAAAACAACAACGCAGAGACUCGUUAUUGAUAUUGCAAAACAUCCAAGUGGGAAAACUUUUUAUAAUGUUUUCAACAUAAAAUUCAUUCAAAAUCUGAGCAGAGUGGGUUUCAUUUAAAUCCCACAAUGAAACUCACUGAACUAAAAGCGAAAACAACAUUCAACGAUCUUUUCAAAUUUUCUUUGACUAUGAGUAGAAUCCUUAGAAAAGAUGCAACGCUGUUUCAAAAUUUCUUUUGGAUAAUGCUCAUCAUUGUGCUGCAACAAAAACAACGAUAUUUAUUUGUACCUUGCGAGAUGCGCAGGGACUUGGGGGCAGACUUCUCGAGGCCAAACCACCACCGGAUGCUGGGGGUGCGAGGCAACUUGUACUUCCAGCUUUCUUGAGACCCAGCAGCGUGUUAGCUAUACUUGCCUUGACGGCCAUCAUACCCUAAUUGGAUCGAUCAACGCAUUCCAAUUCGAUUAUUUGGAUGAAAUAUUGGAAGCUUGUACUACGUGUUCAGUACCUGAACGUUCUCCUCACAACCCGUCAGGGAUAUCUCUGGACCGGUGUCACCCGCCAUUACGCUCGCUUCUAUCUCGUCGGCUUCGUAUGCCAUCGUUGUUAACGUCUCUGCACCACAACUACCCGAGGACUGACAACGUGCCUCACACUUUUUGUGACACACCAUUCCGCAGUCUCUACAUUGCACUGCGUCUUUCAACCAGAUCUGGAAAUGAAGAAUUUUUGUAUCAGAAACUAUCAAUAGUUAGGCUGAAAAAUUGACAGUGUAUUGUCAACUCAUUAAUUUUGGUUUUCGUUUUCAGAUUGUAAAAUUUAUUUCGUGCGAAUUGAAUAAAUUUGUGUGAAUUCAUUCGAAUGGAA